AGGGUACUCCCUCCGUUCGGAAUUACUUGUCUCGGAAAUGGAUGUAUCUAGAACUAAAAUACGUCUAGAUACAUCCAUUUGUGCGACAAGUAAUUCUGAACGGAGGGAGUAGUUU
rnacentral:pre_miRNA from 1 species